GAAUUGCAGAAUUCCGCGAAUCAUCGAGUUUUUGAACGCAAGUUGCGCCCGAAGCUCGUCUGAGGGCAUGCCUGCCUGAGCGUCCG
rnacentral:rRNA from 1 species